rnacentral:rRNA from 1 species
AUUGAACGCUGGCGGCAUGCUUUACACAUGCAAGUCGAACGGUAACAGGCCUUCGGGUGCUGACGAGUGGCGCACGGGUGAGUAAUGCAUCGGAACGUACCCAGAGGUGGGGGAUAACGCAGCGAAAGCUGUGCUAAUACCGCAUGUGAUCUGAGGAUGAAAGCGGGGGACCGAGCAGCAAUGUUUGGCCUCGCGCCUUUGGAGCGGCCGAUGUCGGAUUAGCUAGUUGGUGGGGUAAAGGCCUACCAAGGCGACGAUCCGUAGCUGGUCUGAGAGGACGACAGGCCCACGGGGGAGGGGAAGCGGGCCCGAACCCCUACGGGGGGAAAAGGUGGGGAAUUUGGGAAAAUGGGGGAAAGCCUGAUCCAGAAAUGCCGGGGGGGGGAAGAAGGCCUUCGGGUUGAAAACCGGUUUUGGAAGGAACGAAACGGUGUCCGCUAAUACCGGGCGCUAAUGACGGUACCUGCAGAAUAAACACCGGCUAACUACGU